UAGAGUUUGAUCCUGGCUCAGAUUGAACGCUGGCGGCAGGCCUAACACAUGCAAGUCGGGCGGUAACACAGGGAGCUUGCUCCUGGGUGACGAGCGGCGGACGGGUGAGUAAUGUCUGGGAAACUGCCUGAUGGAGGGGGAUAACUACUGGAAACGGUAGCUAAUACCGCAUAAUGUCGCAAGACCAAAGAGGGGGACCUUCGGGCCUCUUGCCAUCAGAUGUGCCCAGAUGGGAUUAGCUAGUAGGUGGGGUAAUGGCUCACCUAGGCGACGAUCCCUAGCUGGUCUGAGAGGAUGACCAGCCACACUGGAACUGAGACACGGUCCAGACUCCUACGGGAGGCAGCAGUGGGGAAUAUUGCACAAUGGGCGCAAGCCUGAUGCAGCCAUGCCGCGUGUAUGAAGAAGGCCUUCGGGUUGUAAAGUACUUUCAGCGAGGAGGAAGGCGAUAAGGUUAAUAACCUUGUCGAUUGACGUUACUCGCAGAAGAAGCACCGGCUAACUCCGUGCCAGCAGCCGCGGUAAUACGGAGGGUGCAAGCGUUAAUCGGAAUUACUGGGCGUAAAGCGCACGCAGGCGGUCUGUCAAGUCGGAUGUGAAAUCCCCGGGCUCAACCUGGGAACUGCAUUCGAAACUGGCAGGCUAGAGUCUUGUAGAGGGGGGUAGAAUUCCAGGUGUAGCGGUGAAAUGCGUAGAGAUCUGGAGGAAUACCGGUGGCGAAGGCGGCCCCCUGGACAAAGACUGACGCUCAGGUGCG
rnacentral:rRNA from 1 species